rnacentral:rRNA from 1 species
CAAGAUGAGAUUUCUUUUAAGGGUCGUAGGAGAUGACUACGUUGAUAGGCUAUAGAUGUAAAGGCAGUAAUGUCAUAGUCGAGUAGUACUAAUAACCCGUAAGCUUAUGUACAC